rnacentral:lncRNA from 1 species
ACCCCAGUCAUGAAACAUGAAACGGUAGGUUUCCCUCUAUAUGAGUCGACCAGUAAAAGAAAAAGUCAAGUAAACGCGCUGUAAUGUCAUUGCGCUCCCUCCAGCAGUGUGGUCGUCGCUGAACAUUGGAAAAACUGGCAUUCCUUGUUUGACCCGACGAAUUGAAAACCCUUCUCUUUUCUGCUUUCUGCUUCUCAUUUUCACACCCAUCCUUGNNN